ACGAACGCUGGCGGCGUGCCUAAUACAUGCAAGUAGAACGCUGAAGAGAGGAGCUUGCUCUUCUUGGAUGAGUUGCGAACGGGUGAGUAACGCGUAGGUAACCUGCCUUGUAGCGGGGGAUAACUAUUGGAAACGAUAGCUAAUACCGCAUAACAAUGGAUGACACAUGUCAUUUAUUUGAAAGGGGCAAUUGCUCCACUACAAGAUGGACCUGCGUUGUAUUAGCUAGUAGGUGAGGUAAUGGCUCACCUAGGCGACGAUACAUAGCCGACCUGAGAGGGUGAUCGGCCACACUGGGACUGAGACACGGCCCAGACUCCUACGGGAGGCAGCAGUAGGGAAUCUUCGGCAAUGGGGGCAACCCUGACCGAGCAACGCCGCGUGAGUGAAGAAGGUUUUCGGGUCGUAAAGCUCUGUUGUAAGUCAAGAACGGGUGUGAGAGUGGAAAGUUCACACUGUGACGGUAGCUUACCAGAAAGGGACGGCUAACUACGUG
rnacentral:rRNA from 1 species